rnacentral:tRNA from 1 species
GCCUGGGUGGCUCAGUUGGUUGAGCAUCUGGCUUUGGCUCAGGUCGUGAUCUCACAGUUUGUGGGUUCAAGCCCCACAUUGGGCU